rnacentral:rRNA from 1 species
UACGUAGGGUGCGAGCGUUGUCCGGAAUUAUUGGGCGUAAAGGGCUUGUAGGUGGCGUGUCGCGUCUGCCGUGAAAUUCAUCAGCUUAACUGGUGGAGUGCGGUGGGUACGGGCAUGCUUGAGUGUGGUAGGGAGAUUGGAAUUCCUGGUGUAGCGGUGGAAUGCGCAGAUAUCAGGAGGAACACCGGUGGCGAAGGCGGAUCUCUGGGCCAUUACUGACGCUGAGGAGCGAAAGCGUGGGGAGCAAACAGGAUUAGA